CGAGAGAACGUUCUAGAAGGUGGAUGGUUGCGACACGGUCGGAUUCGGAGCCGGUUGUGAGUUGAAGCUCGGAGAGGUGAAAGAGUUCUUCGAGAUUGUUGGGAAGUAGAAGCGGUGGUGGAGUUGGUGGUGGUUGUUGUGGCGGAGGAGUAGUGGUGGUGGUGGUGGAAGGUGUUGUCGGGAGAGAGAAACUCCAUUGGGUGAAGCUUUGGGAGGUUGUGGAGGAAGAAGAAGAGGUGGAGGACUCGCAUG